rnacentral:lncRNA from 1 species
GAGGAGAGAGAGAGAGAGAUAGACUGAAGUACAUGGAUCAUAUCUAGUGGAAUGACCACCCCUUCUCAUGUGAUCUGAUGGUGAUCCUCGUGAUCUGAUGGCCAUCCUCCUGUUGUCCUGUCACCGUCAGCCUUGGCCUUCCUUUUGUUGAGUAAAAUAUGGGGCCAAGAUAGUAACCUUGGUGUUAAUUGAAGGUUUAGGUCUAAGGGUCAUAUACUUUUGGGAAAAAUGCCCAGUGCUAAUGUAAAAGAUGGCCAUUUU